rnacentral:rRNA from 1 species
GAGUAAUGCCUGGGAAAUUGCCCUGAUGUGGGGGAUAACCAUUGGAAACGAUGGCUAAUACCGCAUAAUAGCUACGGCUCAAAGAGGGGGACCUUCGGGCCUCUCGCGUCAGGAUAUGCCCAGGUGGGAUUAGCUAGUUGGUGAGGUAAGGGCUCACCAAGGCGACGAUCCCUAGCUGGUCUGAGAGGAUGAUCAGCCACACUGGAACUGAGACACGGUCCAGACUCCUACGGGAGGCAGCAGUGGGGAAUAUUGCACAAUGGGCGCAAGCCUGAUGCAGCCAUGCCGCGUGUAUGAAGAAGGCCUUCGGGUUGUAAAGUACUUUCAGCAGUGAGGAAGGCGGAGUCGUUAAUAGCGGCCUCGUUUGACGUUAGCUGCAGAAGAAGCACCGGCUAACUCCGUGCCAGCAGCCGCGGUAAUACGGAGGGUGCGAGCGUUAAUCGGAAUUACUGGGCGUAAAGCGCAUGCAGGUGGAUGAUUAAGUCAGAUGUGAAAGCCCG